CCGGUAAUUCCAGCUCCAAUAGCGUAUAUUAAAGUUGUUGCAGUUAAAAAGCUCGUAGUUGAACUUUGGGCCUGGGUGGCCGGUCCGAUUUUUUCGUGUACUGGAAUGCACCCGGGCCUUUCCUUCUGGCUAACCCCAAGUCCUUGUGGCUUGGCGGCGAACCAGGACUUUUACUUUGAAAAAAUUAGAGUGUUCAAAGCAGGCGUAUUGCUCGAAUAUAUUAGCAUGGAAUAAUGGAAUAGGACGUUUGGUUCUAUUUUGUUGGUUUCUAGGACCAUCGUAAUGAUUAAUAGGGACGGUCGGGGGCAUCAGUAUUCAAUUGUCAGAGGUGAAAUUCUUGGAUUUAUUGAAGACUAACUACU
rnacentral:sRNA from 1 species